rnacentral:rRNA from 1 species
CCUACGGGAGGCGGCAGUGGGGAAUCUUGCGCAAUGGGCGAAAGCCUGACGCAGCCAUGCCGCGUGAAUGAUGAAGGUCUUAGGAUUGUAAAAUUCUUUCACCGGGGACGAUAAUGACGGUACCCGGAGAAGAAGCCCCGGCUAACUUCGUGCCAGCAGCCGCGGUAAUACGAAGGGGGCUAGCGUUGCUCGGAAUUACUGGGCGUAAAGGGCGCGUAGGCGGAUCGUUAAGUCAGAGGUGAAAUCCCAGGGCCCAACCGUGGAACUGCCUUUGAUACUGGCGAUCUUGAGUAUGAGAGAGGGAUGUGGAACCCCGAUGGUAGAGGUGAAAUUCGUAGAUAUCCGGAAGAACACCAGUGGCGAAGGCGACAUCCUGGCUCAUUACUGACGCUGAGGCGCGAAAGCGUGGGGAGCAAACAGGAUUAGAUCCCCUUGUAGU